UUACCCGGCUGGAAAUUAAGCAUAUAAGUAGGCGGUGGAAAAUGAACCAAAUGGGAUUCCUUAAGUAAUUGCGAAUGAACAAGGAAAUGCUCAGCUUGAAAAAUGGGGCCUUUGGCUUUGAAUUGUAAUUUUGAAAUGUAUUGCCAAUGGAGGCGCAGGUGCAAGCCUAUUGAAAGAAAGCGUCAACGAGGGUGAAAUUCCUUUUUGUCAUUUGCAGUCCUCCGUGCACGGUAUAUAUUUGACGAGUCACACUCCUCGGCAUUGGAAUGCAAAGUGGGUGGUAAAUUCCAUGUAAAGGUAAAUAUAUUAUUGAGACUGAUAGCAAACAAGUACCAUGAGGGAAAUAUGAAAAGGACUUUGAAAAGGGAAUUAAAAGAGUCUGCAUUUGCUGAACAGAAAGCAAACAGAAUUGAUGUGCUUGGUGAGAUUGUUGUGCCCACUCUGUCAUUUAUGUCGGAUGUGGGUGCGAUGGUUCUUACCUUGAAUGUCAGCUUCUAUUUCUGCAAAUCAUUACCCUUGCACAUGAAUGGUAAUUUGCCUGCGGGUAUUGGAAUGUAUGUGUUUGCAAUGAUUUGUGAUUUGAUGCAUGUGGUUGGUGGACUUUGUAUGUGCUGUUUUGCCAACGGGGAAGGGACUCUUCCUUGAGCACUGCAAGCCCUUGCACAUUGAUGCUGGCAAAAUGUUUCUGCUUGACCCGUCUUGAAACACGGACCAAGGAGUCUAACAGAUGUGCAAGUGCGUGGGUGGCAAACCUACUAACACAAUGAAAGUAUUGGCUGGGAUAUUUGCACCAGCAGCCGACUGAUUAGCAGACAGAGGUUUGAGUUUGAGCAUAUCUAUUAGGACCCGAAAGAUGGUGAACUAUGCCUGAACAGAAUGAAUUCAGAGGAAACUCUGAUGGAGGUUCGUAUCGAUACUGACGUGCAAAUCGUUCGUCAUACUUGGGUAUAGGGGCGAAAGAUCUUCCCUCCCC
rnacentral:rRNA from 1 species